rnacentral:tRNA from 1 species
UCCCCAGUGGCUAAGUGGUAAAGGAGCUGCCUGCAAUGCAGGAGACCAGGUUCGAUCCCUGGAUCGGGAA